rnacentral:rRNA from 1 species
CCUGGCUCAGGAUGAACGCUAGCUACAGGCUUAACACAUGCAAGUCGAGGGGCAGCAUGGAGGUUGCUUGCAAUCUCCGAUGGCGACCGGCGCACGGGUGCGUAACACGUAUCGAACCUGCCCACUGCUCGGGGAUAGCCCUCUGAAAGGAGGAUUAAUACCCGAUGGUUUCCCUUAGGGACAUCCCUUGGGGAAUAAAGAUUCAUCGGCAGUGGAUGGCGAUGCGCCCGAUUAGCUUGACGGCGGGGUAACGGCCCACCGUGGCGACGAUCGGUAGGGGUUCUGAGAGGAAGGUCCCCCACACUGGAACUGAGACACGGUCCAGACUCCUACGGGAGGCAGCAGUGAGGAAUAUUGGUCAAUGGUCGCGAGACUGAACCAGCCAAGUAGCGUGAGGGAAGACUGCCCUACGGGUUGUAAACCUCUUUUGCAGGGGAAUAAAGUGCGGUACGCGUACUGCAUUGCAUGUACCCUGGGAAUAAGCAUCGGCUAAUUCCGUGCC